ACUCCUACGGGAGGCAGCAGUGAGGGAUAUUGCACAAUGGGGGAAACCCUGAUACAGCGACGCCGCGUGGGUGAUGAAGGCUUUCGGGUCGUAAAACCCUUUUUGGCAUGACGAGAACGGACGGUAGUGCCAGAAUAAGUCUCGGCUAACUACGUGCCAGCAGCCGCGGUAAAACGUAGGAGGCAAGCGUUAUCCGGAGUUACUGGGCGUAAAGGGUGCGUAGGCGGCUCAUCAAGUGGGACGUGAAAGCUCACGGCUAAACUGUGAGAGGACGACUCAGACUGAAGGGCUAGAGGGUGUCAGAGGCGUGCGGAAUUCGGGGUGUAGCGGUGAAAUGU
rnacentral:rRNA from 1 species